AUGGAGAGGACCGGGGAGAACCGGAGGCCGGCGGUGGGGAAGCCCGUGCCAAGCGUCCGAGAGAUGGGGAAUCGGAGGCCGCUCAAGGAACUCAACAACCUCGCGGGGGCUCACCCGUACCCCUGCGCCGUCGCCAAGAAGCCGAUGCUAGAGAAGAGUCGGAGGGAUGAGAAGAAGCCAGCAUUGGUGACCCAUCGUCCUAUGACGAGGAAACUCGCCCUCUUAUUGGAGAACAGAGAACAACUUGACCAUCUGGCCACCGCAGCUGAUGCAGCAAAACCCGGAGUUGAUCCCCAGGAUGAGCCCAUCCUGGAUGACACCGCUGCUGACACUGAUGAGGAGAUCGAGUCGGUCGACGACGAUACUGACAUGGAUGAGGAAGAACAGGAGGAUAUUGUGGAUGAUGUAUCCCUCAUGGACAUCGACAGCGGCGACUCUGGGAAUCCGCUGGCCGCAACUGAGUACGUCGAAGAGAUUUACAGGUUCUACAGAGAAAAUGAGAAAAUGAGCUGUGUGCGUCCUGAUUACAUGUCCAGUCAAGAAGACAUAAAUGAAAAGAUGAGAGCUAUUCUGAUAGAUUGGCUCAUUGAGGUUCAUUACAAGUUUGAGUUGAUGGAUGAGACACUCUUUCUUACCGUGAACAUAAUAGACAGAUACUUGGAAAAACAAGUGGUGCCAAGGAAGAAGUUGCAGUUAGUUGGAGUGACAGCUAUGCUUCUUGCUUGUAAAUAUGAGGAAGUCUCAGUUCCAGUUGUUGAAGAUUUAGUGCUCAUUUCUGACCGGGCUUACACUAAAGGACAGAUUCUUGAAAUGGAAAAGUCGGUCCUGAACACUCUGGAGUACAACAUGUCUGUACCAACGCAAUAUGUUUUUAUGAGAAGGUUCCUGAAGGCAGCUGAUUCUGACAAGCAGCUACAGCUAGUUUCUUUCUUCAUGCUUGAGCUCUGCCUGGUUGAAUACCAAAUGCUCAAGUACUGCCCUUCGCUGCUUGCUGCCGCUGCAGUUUACACUGCCCAUUGUGCUAUCAAUCGCUGCUGGCAGUGGACAAAGAUCUGCGAGACACACAGCAGAUACACUAGAGAUCAGCUCAUUGAGUGCUCCAAAAUGAUGGUACAAUUCCACCAGAAGGCCGCAGGGGGCAAGCUUACAGGCGUCCACAGGAAAUACAGUACAUUCAAGUUUGGUUGUGUGGCGAAAGUGGAGCCUGCGCACUUCUUGCUGGGGGGAUGA
rnacentral:rRNA from 1 species